UUAAAGGUUUGGUCCCAGCCUUAGUAUUAAUUUUAAUUAUAAUUAUACAUGCAAGCUUCAACCACCCCGUGAGAAUGCCCACUACUUCUACCUAGAUGUAGGGGGAGCCGGUAUCAGGCAAUAUAGCCCACAACACCUUGCUAAGCCACACCUAUACAGGAAUUCAGCAGUAAUAAACAUUGAACAAUGAGCGACAGCCCGAUUCAGCAAUAAUUAAAUAAGGCCGGUAAAUCUCGUGCCAGCCACCGCGGUUAUACGAAAGACCUAAAUUAAUACAUGCGGCCCAAAGGGUAGUUAAAGAUAAUUAAAAUUGAAUUAAAAGCUCACCCAGCCGUUAUACGCAAAGCAAGCCACAGACUCAACAACGAAAGCGAUUCUAUAAAUACUUGAAUCUACUACAACCGAGAAACAAACUAGGAUUAGAUACCCUACUAUGCUCGAUCAUAAACUUAGACACCCCGCCAGAGAACUACGAGCUACAGCUUAAAACUCAAAGGACUUGGCGGUGCUCCACACCCACCUAGAGGAGCCUGUUCUAUAAUCGAUAUUCCCCGAUAAACCUCACCACCUUUUGCCAAUACAGCCUAUAUACCACCGUCCCAGCUUACCCCUCAAAAGAAUAAUAGUGAGCAAAAUAAUUUAAAAUAAAAAAGUCAGGUCAAGGUGUAGCAUAUAAGGUGGAAAGAAAUGGGCUACAUUUUCCUUACGAAAAUACGAAAUAUUUAAUGAAACUUAAAUAUGAAGGAGGAUUUAGAAGUAAAGAGGAAAAAGAGUGUUCUCUUUAAAUCGGCAAUAGAGCACGCACACACCGCCCGUCACCCUCUCCAAGAACAUAAUCAAUUAAAUAAAUAUAUAAUUAAAUAAGAAGAGGAAAGUCGUAACAUGGUAAGCCUACCGGAAGGUGGUCUUGGAUAU
rnacentral:ncRNA from 1 species